AACGAACGCUGGCGGCAGGCCUAACACAUGCAAGUCGAGCGCGCCCUUCGGGGUGAGCGGCGGACGGGUGAGUAACGCGUGGGAACGUGCCCUUUUCUACGGAAUAGCCUCGGGAAACUGAGAGUAAUACCGUAUACGCUCUUUGGGGGAAAGAUUUAUCGGAAAAGGAUCGGCCCGCGUUGGAUUAGGUAGUUGGUGAGGUAAUGGCCUACCAAGCCGACGAUCCAUAGCUGGUUUGAGAGGAUGAUCAGCCACACUGGGACUGAGACACGGCCCAGACUCCUACGGGAGGCAGCAGUGGGGAAUCUUAGACAAUGGGGGCAACCCUGAUCUAGCCAUGCCGCGUGAGUGAUGAAGGCCUUAGGGUUGUAAAGCUCUUUCAGCUGGGAAGAUAAUGACGGUACCAGCAGAAGAAGCCCCGGCUAACUCCGUG
rnacentral:rRNA from 1 species